ACCACCAACUUAACUACAUUUUGUACAAAGUUAAGGGUCCUAUUACCAUAAACAUGAAACCAUAUAUCAGGAAUUUGACAAAUUCAUCAUUUAUAUGGAAAGCCCCAAAAAUUAGGGCUUAGUGAGCCAGUGACUCACUGACUCACGUACAAAUUAGGGCUCACAAA